AGUGAACGCUGGCGGUAGGCCUAACACAUGCAAGUCGAACGGCAGCACAGUAAGAGCUUGCUCUUACGGGUGGCGAGUGGCGGACGGGUGAGGAAUACAUCGGAAUCUACUUUUUCGUGGGGGAUAACGUAGGGAAACUUACGCUAAUACCGCAUACGACCUACGGGUGAAAGCAGGGGAUCUUCGGACCUUGCGCGAUUGAAUGAGCCGAUGUCGGAUUAGCUAGUUGGCGGGGUAAAGGCCCACCAGGGCGACGAUCCGUAGCUGGUCUGAGAGGAUGAUCAGCCACACUGGAACUGAGACACGGUCCAGACUCCUACGGGAGGCAGCAGUGGGGAAUAUUGGACAAUGGGCGCAAGCCUGAUCCAGCCAUACCGCGUGGGUGAAGAAGGCCUUCGGGUUGUAAAGCCCUUUUGUUGGGAAAGAAAAGCAGCAGGUUAAUACCCCACUGUUCUGACGGUACCCAAAGAAUAAGCACCGGCUAACUUCGUG
rnacentral:rRNA from 1 species